UAAGAAUUUUUGUAAUGAGCUUUUGACUUACAAGUUUAGGCAAACUUUUAGACCAUACAUUAUAUUAUUUUAUUCCAUCAUUGGUCCAUUAAAACAACUAUUUAAAGCUUCUUAAAAUAGCAAGCUAAAAUGAGUGUUUUAACACAUUUAACUCUGCUGCAGAACUGCAACAGAGAUGAAUUUCCUACCCAGUUUGGUGAUUUUUAUAAUUUUCUGGGUUAGCCUUUGGGUUUCCAAGUUUAUGCAAUCAAUUAGACCUUACAUCAUAUUGUUUUUCCUUAAGUUUGGUUGCUUGAAUACAGACACGCAAGAUGGCC
rnacentral:lncRNA from 1 species